AUUUUCCUUCGGGGCAGGGUGAGGCCGAGUGCCAAUUCCCGAUCGGUGGUGACGCGAACAACUGCGAAGUCCACGAGCCGAAAGGCAGGAACUGGUGAGAUUCCAGUACCGACGGUAUAGUCCGGAUAGAAGAAGGAAGCC
rnacentral:ncRNA from 1 species